rnacentral:rRNA from 2 species
AACGCUGGCGGCGUGCGUAACACGUGCAAGUCGAACGAGAAUGUACUGACAGAUCCUUAGGGUGAAGAUAGUACAGGACAGUGGCGGAUGGGUGAGUAACGCGUAAGAAACCUGCCUUUCACACCGGGAUAGCAGCUGGAAACGGCUAUUAAUACCGGAUGACACUUUUUCCCCGCAUGAGGAAGAGGUUAAAGAAUUUCGGUGAAAGAUGGUCUUGCGUCUGAUUAGCUAGUUGGUGGGGUAACGGCCUACCAAGGCGACGAUCAGUAGCCGGCCUGAGAGGGUGUACGGCCACAUUGGGACUGAGACACGGCCCAAACUCCUACGGGAGGCAGCAGUGGGGAAUUUUGCACAAUGGAGGAAACUCUGAUGCAGCGACGCCGCGUGAACGAAGAAGGUCUUCGGAUUGUAAAGUUCUGUCCUGGGUGAAGAUAAUGACGGUAACUCAGGAGGAAGCCCCGGCUAACUACGUGCCAGCCGCCGCGGUAA